CAGUUGCAUUUUUAGUUCUGAAAAGUGAAGUUCGUGCCACGUGUUUUGAAAAAGUGUGUUGCUUUCUGCCACCAAUUUUACAUCAAUAUUUUCACAGAAUCGCAAAAAAUGAAUGGGCACACCAAGGACUGAACUGCGUAAAUGACAAAAGUACAUAAACAAGAAGGAAGCACCAAAGCACCGUACAGAAGGGGAGUUACUCCGAUUAAAAAUUAGUUGCGUUUUUGAAUAUUGAAAUGAAAAUAAAUAUGAAAUUGAAAUCCA